CCCUUAGAUGUUCUGGGCCGCACGCGUGCUACACUGAGUGGAUCAGCGGGUCAGGUUACGCGAGAGCGUUUCCUAAUCUUCAAAUCCGCUCGUGAUGGGGAUUGACGGUUGCAAUUUUCCGUCAUGAACGAGGAAUACCUUGUAAGCGCGGGUCAUCAUCCCGCGCUGAAUACGUCCCUGCCCUUUGUACACACCGUCCGUCGCUCCUACCGAUUGAGUGGUCCGGUGAGGCUUUGGGAUCUAAGCGAAAAGAGCGUUUCGCUCCUUUUGCUGGGAGAACUCAGUCGAACCUUAUCAUUUAGAGGAAGGAGAAGUCGUAACA
rnacentral:rRNA from 1 species